UUUCUUUUCUGUCUACCUUUUCUUUUGGUAAAAAAAAUCCCUAUCAUUGGAUGUGAAGGAAUAGGCACGGGUCAAUCGUACAGUCAUAAAAGGCAACUUGUGAGACACUUUAGCAAUUUUCGUAAGGGACUAGAUCAUUUACCGAAGGCAACAUCCAGGGACAUCGAGGGACUACAAUCUUUUUUAUCGAAGGGUCUUUGCUUAAGCGUCCCACAUUCGAGGGACAUGACUAUUUUUUUCCGAGGCAACAAGUGA